rnacentral:tRNA from 1 species
GGUCCUAUAGCUCAGUUGGUUAGAGCAGCUGACUCAUAAUCAGCGGGUCCUUGGUUCGAGCCCGAGUGGGACCACCA